rnacentral:rRNA from 1 species
UACGUAGGCAGCAAGCGUUGUUCGGAAUUACUGGGCGUAAAGAGCGCGCAGGCGGUCGUACAAGUCGCGUGUGAAAGCCCCUGGCUCAACUGGGGAGGGUCACGCGAUACUGUUCGACUCGAAGGCAGGAGAGGGAAGUGGAAUUCCCGGUGUAGUGGUGAAAUGCGUAGAUAUCGGGAGGAACACCAGUGGCGAAGGCGACUUCCUGGCCUGUUCUUGACGCUGAGGCGCGAAA